rnacentral:lncRNA from 7 species
AGUAUCUUUCUUUCAAUUUCUCACCUUCGGGCUGCUGGAGUUCAGAUGAAAUGCAUACAAAGAAAACUGAACUGAAGGACAUAGUGGAAGUCAACCAUGGAAAAGCCCUCAUGUUUCUAUUUCCUGGAUUUACUCUGAUGCGUAGCAUGUGGAUUCAGAAUAGCUCCACCAAAUACAGAGGAGAUGAGUGGCGUUUACUCUACUACAGGCAAAGCAGGCCACAGAGCUCCCUUGGCGGCUGUUUUCACCUGGAAUGUUGCUACUACAAUUCUCUGGAGGUUUUCUGGCCAGUUCUGCAGAUAUCAGAAGCUUCGGUUGUUCUGAAAAACAACAGAAAUGCAGAUCUAAAGAAUAAAUAAUGCUGUUUUGGU